rnacentral:rRNA from 1 species
GACGAACGCUGGCGGCGUGCUUAACACAUGCAAGUCGAACGGUGAACCUCUUCGGAGGGGAUCAGUGGCGAACGGGUGAGUAACACGUGGGCAACCUGCCCCCGGCUCUGGGAUAACUCCAAGAAAUUGGGGCUAAUACCGGAUGUUCACCGCUUCCCGCAUGGGUGGUGGUGCAAAGGGUUUCCGGCUGGGGAUGGGCCCGCGGCCUAUCAGCUUGUUGGUGGGGUAGUGGCCUACCAAGGCGACGACGGGUAGCCGGCCUGAGAGGGUGACCGGCCACACUGGGACUGAGACACGGCCCAGACUCCUACGGGAGGCAGCAGUGGGGAAUAUUGCGCAAUGGGCGGAGGCCUGACGCAGCGACGCCGCGUGGGGGAUGACGGCCUUCGGGUUGUAAACCUCUUUCAGCAGGGACGAAGCGCAAGUGACGGUACCUGCAGAAGAAGCACCGGCCAACUACGUG